AUUGAACGCUGGCGGCAGGCUUAACACAUGCAAGUCGAGCGGGGGAAGGUAGCUUGCUACCGGACCUAGCGGCGGACGGGUGAGUAAUGCUUAGGAAUCUGCCUAUUAGUGGGGGACAACAUCUCGAAAGGGAUGCUAAUACCGCAUACGUCCUACGGGAGAAAGCAGGGGAUCUUCGGACCUUGCGCUAAUAGAUGAGCCUAAGUCGGAUUAGCUAGUUGGUGGGGUAAAGGCCUACCAAGGCGACGAUCUGUAGCGGGUCUGAGAGGAUGAUCCGCCACACUGGGACUGAGACACGGCCCAGACUCCUACGGGAGGCAGCAGUGGGGAAUAUUGGACAAUGGGGGGAACCCUGAUCCAGCCAUGCCGCGUGUGUGAAGAAGGCCUUAUGGUUGUAAAGCACUUUAAGCGAGGAGGAGGCUACUUUAGUUAAUACCUAGAGAUAGUGGACGUUACUCGCAGAAUAAGCACCGGCUAAUUCUGUGCCAGCCGCCGCCGUAAUAC
rnacentral:rRNA from 1 species